rnacentral:rRNA from 1 species
UACGUAGGGUGCAGGCGUUAAUCGGAAUUACUGGGCGUAAAGCGUACGCAGGCGGCUUUGCAAGACAGAUGUGAAAUCCCCGGGCUUAACCCUGGGAACUGCAUUUGUGACUGCAAGGCUGGAGUGCGGCAGAGGGGGAUGGAAUUCCGCGUGUAGCAGUGAAAUGCGUAGAGAUGUGGAGGAAUACCGAUGGCGAAGGCAGCCCCCCUGGGAUAACACUGACGCUCAUGCACGAAAGCGUGGGGAGCAAACAGGA